UACAGAGGGUGCAAGCGUUGUUCGGAUUCAUUGGGCGUAAAGGGUGCGUAGGCGGCGCGGUAAGUCGGGUGUGAAAUCUUGGAGCUUAACUCCGAAACUGCAUUCGAUACUGCCGUGCUUGAGGAACCUAGAGGUGAGCAGAACUGAUGGUGGAGCGGUGAAAUGCGUUGAUAUCAUCAGGAAUACCGGAGGCGAAGGCGGCUCACUGGGGUUUCUGACGCUGAGGAACGAAAGCCAGGGAGCGAACGGGGAU
rnacentral:rRNA from 1 species